GGGGGGGGGCCCGUGGGAGUGCUCGACGACGUCGUCCUGUGGGGGCUCCUGCGCGUCCGUCGCUUUUAAAGGCCGGGAAGUGGUGACGACAUCGUCCCAGCAAUAAGCGAUGGGCUUUUUUGAGACGUUGGCUCGAUCCUCCAAGCUUUGAUUCUCUGCUAUUGUCCACGCAUCAGCACGCGUGAAGGCAUGGCGAUGGCUUGCUGGUUGAAGACUUAAGUCGGCGUGGCAACCAAAAGCGGGAGAAACGAUGGAGCGAAAUCUGCAAUGAUCGGGCACGUGUGCGCCUGCUCAGCGGAUUGCGACAUCACAGGACCGUGGUGGCAAGCGAACGCCUUCAUCCAACAGUGAUGAUGAUGGACAAAUAACCGAGGUCUCCCUGGGCUUGCUCUCUCAUCUGGUGCCGAUGACGAACUCGUUGGUGUAUGGAAUUAAAGCCCCCACCACCCAUCCCGGUUUGCUGUGGUCUUCUUGGGGCGGGCAUGUUGACGGGUGAGGGCUGACCCAUCAUGGCUGGCUAUUGGAAUGUGGGAAACAACCUUAUGCCGACAUAAACACGUGGGCGAAACAGAACACAUUAAAUGUUUUGAUUUAAAGCUUUCGUGACUGCAGGGAUUCAUAUUGGUUCU